UACGUAGGGAGCAAGCGUUGUCCGGAAUUAUUGGGCGUAAAGGGUGCGUAGGCGGCUGUGCAAGUCAGAUGUGAAAUCCCCGGGCUUAACUCGGGGGGUGCAUUUGAAACUGCGCGGCUUGAGUGCAGGAGGGGAAAGCGGAAUUCCUGGUGUAGCGGUGAAAUGCGUAGAUAUCAGGAAGAACACCGGUGGCGAAGGCGGCUUUGUGGACUGUAACUGACGCUGAGGCACGAAAGCGUGGGGAGCAAACAGG
rnacentral:rRNA from 1 species